UUGGAUCUGUGCUGCUCUUCAUACAGUACUGGACGUGUCAUUUACUGAGAAAUAAAGAGGUGAGGACUGAUAACUUGGAGUAACAGGUUCUACGUAGAGGGGAGAAAGAGGAACAAGUGAGACAGAGGGGAGGAGAGAAAGAGAAGAACUCUUAGCCACCCCACUUAACCAUCCUCAGGCGUGUCUCUUAGCAGUUCUGUGUCUCAUUGUAGAAGAGAGUGCAAGUAGGCUACAGAUUCUCAAAGAAACCACUGUCUUUGUACUAUUCUGCACAUCCCACUCUAACUUUUACAUUUCCCGGGGCUGGACGUCAUACAGAACAGCAAGAAGAACAGUCAUCGGUGGAUAGAGAUUGACGUUGAACUACAGACCGUAGAAAACCUGGGGCUAGCAGAACUACUAUGGAGUCAGCACAGAAUAAAGCUCAACCAACCUCUCCUCAUAAACAUACAGUGAAGAACAGGUCCAAGUCAACAGAUGAGAUUCAACAAGCCAAAAAGGCUUUUCACACGACACAGAAAUCAUUGCCAGGGAAGCCGGAGACUGAGAAUAAGGAGCCCCCAGAGAGUCCAUCCUCAUCAGAAGAACUGAAAUGAAGGGGCAGACAGCACCAGGCAGAGAGUCAUGGGCUACAUCAAUCAUUCCUCUGGAAAUCUAUUCAGUUUUCUGCAGUUUGUAUUCUCAUAACGACAUAAAGGCUGUACAUUUUUUGUAAACGUCUUAUGAAUGUGAUUGUUUACUAAAUAAGAAAACGUGUCAAAUGCAUUGUUUGUGAGGAUAUGAUGUUCAAAGAAUGACUAGAGACGUACUCUACAAAACACAGGCACUUAAUAGAAAGCCGUAAUUAAGCGAGUGGAAAACAUAUGUGCAUGUGACAGUUGGGAUGUGUGUAAGUAUGAGGUAUAGUGGAUAUAGGUACACUCUCCUAAAACAUUCUGUUUUUUGGAACUUAUGUCAGAAUUAAUGUCAGUGUGCCACUUUGAAAAUGUGAAGCAAUUGAGCCUGUAAAUAAACCUUGUGUAUGU